UAAAAGGGCUUCUGUCAUGAGCGGCACACGUAGAGCAGCUCUGUUUGCUCUUCGUGUGGAAUCUACAUCAAAGAGAGUUCAGAAGUAUAGUUUUUUUUACUUCAGGGCAGCUGGUGACACUUGGUUAUGGUGCCAUU